GUAGGAAAUUUGAGAGGAGCUGUCCUUAGUACGAGAGGACCGGGAUGGACGAACCUCUGGUGCACCAGUUGUCGCGCCAGCGGCACAGCUGGGUAGCCAUGUUCGGAUGGGAUAAGCGCUGAAGGCAUCUAAGCGCGAAGCCCACCUCAAGAUGAGAUUUCCCAUAGCGUUAAGCUAGUAAGACCCCUGGAAGAACACCAGGUUGAUAGGCCAGAGGUGUAAGCGUCGUAAGGCGUUUAGCUGACUGGUACUAAUAGGUCGAGGGCUUGAUCAU
rnacentral:rRNA from 1 species